GGGGAUUUGGCUCAGUGGUAGAGCACUUGCCUAGUAAGCGCAAGGCCCUGGGUUCGGUCCCCAGCUCCG
rnacentral:tRNA from 1 species